GACGAACGCUGGCGGCGUGCUUAACACAUGCAAGUCGAACGCUGAAGACCUGGCUUUUGUUGGGUUGGAUGAGUGGCGAACGGGUGCGUAACACGUGAGUAACCUGCCCUCUUCUUUGGGAUAACGCCCGGAAACGGGUGCUAAUACUGGAUAUUCACUGAUCUUCGCAUGGGGGUUGGUGGAAAGGUUUGUUCUGGUGGGGGAUGGGCUCGCGGCCUAUCAGCUUGUUGGUGGGGUGAUGGCCUACCAAGGCUUUGACGGGUAGCCGGCCUGAGAGGGUGACCGGUCACAUUGGGACUGAGAUACGGCCCAGACUCCUACGGGAGGCAGCAGUGGGGAAUAUUGCACAAUGGGCGAAAGCCUGAUGCAGCGGCGCCGCGUGAGGGAUGGAGGCCUUCGGGUUGUAAACCUCUUUCGCUCAUGGUCAAGCCGCAACUGUGGGUUGUGGUGAGGGUAGUGGGUAAAGAAGCGCCGGCUAACUACGUG
rnacentral:rRNA from 1 species